rnacentral:lncRNA from 1 species
AAAUUAAAAGACCCUAAAAAACUUUCUUCCUCUGCAGAGUUCUAGCAGCAUUAUGAGCAAGCCUUCUAUGUGGCUUGUGGCUGAAGCACCAUGCUCCUCUUUGGAGCAGUCUCCCUCCCAAGCAGGGGGCUCCAUUUAAAUAGGAACACACACUGAGGAGACCCACAAGGACCUCUAAGCUCAGGCCCCUGCCUGACUUUCUAACCUUAGCUAAGGAUGGAUACAAAAAUUCUUCAAACUUCAGCUAAUAAAAUUCAGCAAUAUAAAAAAAGGAUAAUAUGCCCUGACAAAAUUACAACUUCCAUUAUUCCUUUAAAAAAUUCUCAGUAAAGUAGGAAUACAAUGAAACUUCCUAAACCUAAUAAAGCAUAUCUACAAAAGAUAUACAACUAGCAUCAUGCAUCAUACUUAAUAAUGAAGAAAUGAAUGCAUCUCCCUCAGAUCAGGAAGAAGGCAAGAUG